UCAGUGAAAUUGAACUCGCUGUGAAGAUGCAGUGUACCCGCGGCAAGACGGAAAGACCCCGUGAACCUUUACUAUAGCUUGACACUGAACAUUGAGCCUUGAUGUGUAGGAUAGGUGGGAGGCUUUGAAGUGUGGACGCCAGUCUGCAUGGAGCCGACCUUGAAAUACCACCCUUUAAUGUUUGAUGUUCUAACGUUGGCCCGUAAUCCGGGUUGCGGACAGUGUCUGGUGGGUAGUUUGACUGGGGCGGUCUCCUCCUAAAGAGUAACGGAGGAGCACGAAGGUUGGCUAAUCCUGGUCGGACAUCAGGAGGUUAGUGCAAUGGCAUAAGCCAGCUUGACUGCGAGCGUGACGGCGCGAGCAGGUGCGAAAGCAGGUCAUAGUGAUCCGGUGGUUCUGAAUGGAAGGGCCAUCGCUCAACGGAUAAAAGGUACUCCGGGGAUAACAGGCUGAUACCGCCCAAGAGUUCAUAUCGACGGCGGUGUUUGGCACCUCGAUGUCGGCUCAUCACAUCCUGGGGCUGAAGUAGGUCCCAAGGGUAUGGCUGUUCGCCAUUUAAAGUGGUACGCGAGCUGGGUUUAGAACGUCGUGAGACAGUUCGGUCCCUAUCUGCCGUGGGCGCUGGAGAACUGAGGGGGGCUGCUCCUAGUACGAGAGGACCGGAGUGGACGCAUCACUGGUGUUCGGGUUGUCAUGCCAAUGGCACUGCCCGGUAGCUAAAUGCGGAAGAGAUAAGUGCUGAAAGCAUCUAAGCACGAAACUUGCCCCGAGAUGAGUUCUCCCUGACUCCUUGAGAGUCCUGAAGGAACGUUGAAGACGACGACGUUGAUAGGCCGGGUGUGUAAGCGCAGCGAUGCGUUGAGCUAACCGGUACUAAUGAACCGUGAGGCUUAACCUUACAACGCCGAAG
rnacentral:rRNA from 1 species